UACCACUUCCAAGGAAGGCAGCAGGCGCGCAACUUACCCUAAUCUCGAUUCGAGGAGGUAGUGACAAGAAAUACCGAUGCGGGACCCUACGGGUGCCGCGUUCGGAAUGAGUACGAUUCGAACCACCUAACGAGGAACGAUCGGAGGGCAAGUCUGGUGCCAGCAGCCGCGGUAAUUCCAGCUCCAAUAGCGUACGUUAAAGUUGCUGCAGUUAAAAAGCUCGUAGUUGAACGUUCGGGUUCCGCGGGACGGGGCCGCCCCGCGAGGGACGGCGCCGCCCCGGGGCUCGUGAUAUCUCAUCUCGCCGCCCGUCGCGAGGCGGACGGAGGGAUGGAUGAGGUUACCUGGAAAAAAUCGGGGCGAUCUAGGCGGGCGAACCUCGCCAACGAACGAUCGGACAUGGGAUAACGGAAGAGGGCGUCGGCUCGACUUCGUCGGUUCCUCGGGCCGAGGCACGUACGGUGAAUAGGGACGGUCGGGGCCGCCCGUACCGGGUCGUGAGAGGUGRAAUUCUAGGAUCGACCCGAGACGAACCGCCGCGAAAGCAUUCGGCAAGGACGCUUUCAUUAAUCAAGAACGAAAGUCGGGGGAUCGAAGACGAUCAGAUACCGUCGUAGUCCCGACCGUAAACGAUGCCGACCGAGGGCCCGGAGGAGUUACGUACGACCCUCCGGGCCCUCCCGCGAGAAAUCAGGAGUAUUCGGGUUCCGGGGGGAGUAUGGUCGCAAGGCCGAAACUUAAAGGAAUUGACGGAAGGGCACCACCAGGAGUGGAAUCUGCGG
rnacentral:rRNA from 1 species